rnacentral:rRNA from 1 species
CUUUACUAUAGCCUGGAAUUGUGUUCGGGCUUCGCUUACGCAGGAUAGGUGGGAGGCUAUGAAGUUCUGCUUGUGGGCAGAAUCGAGCCAACGGUGAGAUACCACUUUAGCGAGGCUAGAAUUCUAACCCUUGCCCAUGAUCUGGGAAGGAGACAGUUUCAGGGGGGGUAGUUUGACUGAGGCGGAAGCCUCAUAAAGGGUAACUGAGGCGCGCAAAGGUCCCCUCAGUCUGGACGGAAAUCAGACAACGAGUGUAAAGGCAGAAGGGAGCUUGACUGCAAGACCUACAAGUCGAGCAGGGUGGAAACACGGUCUUAGUGAUCCGACGGUGCCGCAUGGAAGGGCCGUCGCUCAACGGAUAAAAGUUA